CUGCGUGGCACGCGCCCUCGCCUUCUCACACAGGCCCCACGAGCCACAGCCGUGCGCUCCUUCCACGCUUCCUCGCCAGUGCUCUCACCGCCGAGUUCACAGAUGCCGCGCACACAUACCCUCCCCCACGCACAUCCUCCCCGCUUUCUCACAUGCGUGCGCGCGCGCGCACACACACACUCUCAGAGCCUCCCUCACACCAUCACUUUCCUUCCUCUGUCUCUCACAAACACUCCCUCUGCCAAGAGUGUGGCUGUGCUGCAGCACAGCCCCGAAGUACUUGUCACUGUUCUCAUCAGGUCCUUGGCCUUCCUGGCCUCAGUCUCUUCCCUUUCACCUCCAGCCCUGCACACUGCGGCCCUGUAUUCUUUUGUCAUGUCUCUGUCUAGUCAGCAGUAAAGUACGGAGUGUUCAUUUAGUCAUUCAACAAAUGUUGAUUGAGCACUGAUGAUGGGUUAAGCAUUGGGGCUACGUCAGUGACACAGGUCCUUCCCUCAUAGAGCUCUCCAUUUUGUGACCGGUUUCUUUGUGGCUGAUCUUGUCUGACUAGAUUGUAAGGUAACCCUUGAUCUUGGAUGUUGAGAGAUGUGUAGACAGUCACAGGAGGAAAAAUAUGGGAAGGGUGUUCUCGGCCAAGGGAACAGCCCGUGCAAAGCCUAGAAGUGAAUCACAGUAUGGUAUGCCGGGAACUGAGGUGAUGUUCAGAGACUAGAGGAGAAGCUGCAAAGAGAGCAGAAAGCCAGAUGUUACAGAGUGUGGAUGCCAUGUUCAGAGGGCUGGAUUUUGUCUCAUGAGCCACAAGGAAUCAUGAAAAGUCUUUAGUGACAGGACAGGGUGGGGGCAUGAUGGUGUUCUGACCUAGAAGAGGUGAGCAGGAAGGAGAGAUCUGUUUAGGAGCAAGGACCACAGUUCCAGAGCUGUGACUUCAGCUCUGGGUGACACCUUCUAUGACCCAGGUCCAUCAUGUGAGGGCGGGACAGUCCAGGAGCCAGAGCUUAUAGUACAUGCUCAAUAAAUGAGAGUCAUUACUGUCAGUUAUCGGUGCGACGAGGCGGGACAUUGGCUGAAGAGGAAGUUUACUGAGCACCUACUGAGUGUGGGGUACUGUGCGGGCUCUGCAGCUUUGAGAAGCUCACACACCAAAACCCCAGCUUGCUUGGACAACAGUGGGCCACGUGGCAGGGGUGGAGGCAAAGCACCCUGGAAACUGAAAGGAGCGUGAGGAUUCUGGGUGGCACACAGAGGAGCUGCCACAUGAAAAAAAAAAAAAAGGGAGUUCCCAUUUUGGCUCAGCAGAAGUGAAUCUGACUAGCAUCCAUGAAGUCGAAGGUUCGAUCCCUGGCCUCGCUCAGUGGGUUAAGGAUCCAGUGUUGCUGUGAGCUGUCAUGUAUGUAGAUUGCAGACUCGGCUCGGAUCUGGUGUGGCUGUGGCUGUGGUGUAGGCCGGCAGCUGCAGCUCCGAUUCAACCCUUGGCCUUGGAACCUCCAUAUGCCGCUAAAAAAAAAAAAAGGAAGGAGCCACGUGAACAUCAGCCCAAGGGCAAGGUGUCUAACCCAGCUGCUGUGAGGGACAUAGGAAGGAGGGGCUUGGGAUGGGAUUGUGGAGGCAAGACCUCUGUGGCCAGGCUGAGGGGGGUCAGCAUGGGGCUGAGCUGCACUCUAGAAAUCCCACGUUUUGGUGGAUUAUGUUCAUUAGAAAUUGUGCUCCAGGAGUUCCCGUCGUGGCGCAGUGAUUAAUGAAUCCGACUAGGAACCAUGAGGUUGCGGGUUCGGUCCCUGCCCUUGCUCAGUGGGUUAACGAUCCGGCGUUGCCGUGAGCUGUGGUGUAGGUCGAAGAUACAGCUUGGAUCCCGCGUUGCUGUGGCUCUGGCGUAGGCUGGUGGCUACAGCUCCGAUUCGACCCCUAGCCUGGGAAGCUCCAUAUGCCGUGGGAGCGGCCCAAGAAAUGGC
ensembl:lncRNA